rnacentral:rRNA from 1 species
AUUGAACGCUGGCGGCAUGCUUUACACAUGCAAGUCGAACGGUAACAGGUCUUCGGAUGCUGACGAGUGGCGAACGGGUGAGUAAUACAUCGGAACGUGCCCGAUCGUGGGGGAUAACGAAGCGAAAGCUUUGCUAAUACCGCAUACGAUCUACGGAUGAAAGCAGGGGACCGCAAGGCCUUGCGCGAACGGAGAGGCCGAUGGCAGAUUAGGUAGUUGGUGGGAUAAAAGCUUACCAAGCCGACGAUCUGUAGCUGGUCUGAGAGGACGACCGGACACACUGGGACUGCGACACGGCCCAGACUCCUACGGGAGGCAGCAGUGGGGAAUUUUGGACAAUGGGCGAAAGCCUGAUCCAGCCAUGCCGCGUGCAGGAUGAAGGCCUUCGGGUUGUAAACUGCUUUUGUACGGAACGAAAAGACUCUGGUUAAUACCUGGGGUCCAUGACGGUACCGUAAGAAUAAGCACCGGCUAACUACGUGCCAGCAGCCGCUGUAAUAC